CACAUAUCACUACCGUCACUGAAGUGUCUCCAUCUGAUCCAGACUCAGUGACUCCACAGUGUUCAGUCCUCUCUGACUCUGAGAACAAGACAUGUCCAGAAGAUCUCAGAGUGUACUGGUUCAGAGCCAAAUCAGAUGAAUCGCAUCCCAGUUUAAUUUAUGCUCAUCAAAACAGUGGUGAUGAAUGUGAGAGGAGUCCGGAGACUCACUCGAAGAAAUGUGUCUACAGCUUCUCUAAGGACGUCAGCUCCUCUGAUGCUGGGACUUACUACUGUGCUGUGGCCACAUGUGGAGAGAUACUAUUUGGAAAUGGAACAAAACUGCACAAUGAAGCACUCAACACGCAGGAUGUACAGAAGACCUACACAGUCAUCUCUCUGUUAUGUGCUGCUUUGGCUACAAGUCUGAUUGUUAUAGUCUUUCUCAUUUAUACCAUCAAGAAGAAAAAUCGUGACGAUACUCCAGCGCAAAGUCAACAGAGAGAUGAAGAGAUUUUAGUUUAUUCCGCACCAAACAUCAUAACGAGGAAGUCUGGGAAAGCAGAGAGAAAGAAAUUGCAAAGAACAGAGGAAGAGAUCAUCUACUCUCAUGUCAGAGCUUAAAAAAUCAUAAAAUCAGUUGUAGAUCAAUGGUUUUCUGGCACAA